GCGCCCGUAGCUCAACUGGAUAGAGCGCUGCCCUCCGAAGGCAGAGGCCGGGGGUUCGAAUCCCUCCGGGCGCG
rnacentral:tRNA from 1 species